CAGCAGCCACGGGAAUACGGAGGGUGCAAGCGUUAAUCGGAAUUACUGGGCGUAAAGCGCACGCAGGCGGUCUGACAAGUCAGAUGUGAAAUCCCCGGGCUUAACCUGGGAACUGCAUUUGAAACUGUCAGGCUGGAGUCUUGUAGAGGGGGGUAGAAUUCCAGGUGUAGCGGUGAAAUGCGUAGAGAUCUGGAGGAAUACCGAUGGCGAAGGCAGCCAUCUGGCCUAAUACUGACGCUGAGGUACGAAAGCAUGGGGAGCAAACAGGAUUAGAUACCCCUGUAGUCCCUGUCUCUUAUAC
rnacentral:rRNA from 1 species